UGGACUGUCUUGUUGUACUAAAUGGAUCUUGAACUGUGUACAAGAGGUGGGUGAUUAACAGCUGACCUGUAACGGAGUUGGCCUCACCUACAUAGUCUCUUCCUCAGUCUUGAUCUGGGAUGCUAAGACUUGGUCCCCAAACAACAGAGAGAAGUGUCUGAAAACUGUCUUGCUGGGCUGAAUGGAUCUUGAACUGUUUAGAAGAGACAGGUCACUUAACAGUUGAUCUGGAGUGGAGACACAUUCACCUAACAAAUCUCUUUCUGAGAUGCAAAGAUUUGGUCCACGAAAAAAGAUUAAGGAAGCACUCGCACUUCAAAGCAAGACGUCUGGUCAUGAAAAUCUAGCCUCGUCGCGUACUCCAACCAGGAAAUUUUAAAUAGCUCAUCUCGUCAUGAAAUUCAAGCAAGAGGGUUGGACCUAAAGGACAUCUGAGAGGAAGGUGAAAAUCAGGAAGCGAAGACGAAGUCUAAGAAGUGAAGUAGCCUUGAUGACGGUUUGCUUGCAAGUUUUCAAAUGAAUAUCGGGAGAAAAUUGGAGUACACUGUAUCUCUGUGGACGGAACGACCCCUAAUUUUAGUUUUAAUUUUCCAGUACACUAUUACAAUACAAUCUUUUAAUAUACAUGUCGAUUACAAUCUUCCCCUCACUAUCUCUCGUUGCCAUGUUGCCACCAGUAACGUAGCUCCAUUUUCUGCCUUUAAAAGCACACACAACCCACAAUUCCUCUAUUCGCUCCGACGAAGGGCUAACGC